AUUGCCAUGAUGAAAUGCAAAUGCUAAAUGACCUAAAAAUGAAUGCAUGCAUGAGGUGUAAAGCGUAUGCUUCAAGGAAAAAUGAAGGGUAAAUUUUGGGGUAUUACAGCUGCCCCUAUUCAAUCAACUAGAGACCUGGAAAGAAGAUAGCAGCGACUUUCGUGCUUUCGAGGUAUCAAGGAAUUGAAUACAAUAAAAGCCCGAAAAUUUGCACUGAAGUGAAGUGAAGUAACAAUGCCUGUCAGAAUCGGCAAAGAGGUGGUCUUGAGAGAAGAAUUCGUCUGGUACGGUGAGAGUCAGUCUGAAUACCGAAAAAGAAUGUUAACCUGGAUACCAAAAUAAAUGGUCACACAUAAAUAACCAUGGCCUGAAUGCCGCUCAUCAGUCUGAAUGCUGGAAAUGACUUCGAUCUGAG
rnacentral:lncRNA from 1 species